UUUUUUUUUUUUUUUCUUUUGUGGGCAGAGGCACUAAGGUAGACAGAUGUCACCCAGAUACGCAAUAUGUAACCAGAAGUUAGUUCCAAUCAAGGGCUCUUGGCUAGGGUGCUCUAAAUCUAGGGUGGACCUAUGUUGCUGUCCAUGCAUCAUUUCUCACAAGCCAUGCUGUGGGCUGACUCAGCAUCCAUCCCAGGGCAUCAGUUAGUCAGUUAACCAACACUGAACAUCUGCAAUGGGGCAGAUACUGUGUUAAGCUCAGGAGGACACCCAAAGAGGGUAAGUAAGAUUUGAUCCCUCAAGAAGUUUUUACUCUAGGGAGGAGAUAAGACAGAUGCAUUUGAAACUACAACUAACUGUACAAUGUAGCUCUCUGUCUUCAGGUAGAGUUAAGACCUCUGAAUGGAAAUGCUAACGUGGGUCAGAGUAUAUUAAUCACCCUCAUACCCCUUUUCCUCUUAUAUUUACUAAAGCAAUCUCCCAAGUUUCAGGUGGGCAUAUGACCCUCCAACAGAAGACCAUUGCCCAGUCAUGUUANCAGCUCAGUAUGGUCAUGAGACUAUGUUCCAGUAAAGAAGUGGAAAUGAAGUAUUCAUUUUCCAGGUCUCUUUAAAAAAAAAAAAUGCUUGCUUUCCACUUUUUCUUUCUUUUUUCCUGUAUGCUGGAACAUGGAUGUGGUAGUGAUAGACAAAUUUGACUAUUCAGAAGAGAGCAUCACCAUAGGGAAUAGCUGAGCAAAAAGAUGGAUGGAAUCACGGUCCUAGAUGACGUAGAAUAGAGUGAUCUACUGUCUUGAACUGCCGUCUACUCUGAUUUAUUAGGUGAGAGAGGAAGUUCUAUCUUGCCUGAGUCACUGUACUUUGGGCUUAGCUAUACCCUAAUAAAAGUUAUUAUAUAUUAAGAUACAGAUAGCUUUCCAUCAUGGCUCACUCAUUUAUUCACUCAUUCAUUAAAUGUUUGUAGGCAACUAUAAUGUAUCAGAUGCUGUGCAAGGUACCCUCACAUACCCUACCAUAGUUAAUGCUUAUAAUGAUACAAAGCCCAAGGUUACAGCCAUCCUCAUUACACAGAUGAGGAGAUGGUGACUAUGAGGUGUACAGUAACUUGCUGGAGGUGACACAGCUAAUAAAGGGCUGGUCAGGGAUCAAAAUGAAAACCUACUGGCUGUCUAAAAAUGUUACAUUCCUUCCACUAUAGCCACAUAGGACUGAACAAGAGCUAGGGAUACUAAAUUAUAAAACAUGAAGACAGUGUCUUCAUCUUGAGAAAUAACACUGUGAUUAAGGAUCACGAAACAAUGAGAGUAUAAUGCAAGAGUAAACCCAAUUGCACAGUUAAUUAUGCAGUAAAAUCAACAAGCAAUUAUGAUUUAAGCUGUCAUAACAGAUCCACCUUGAAGGAGGCUGGUCUGUGUUGGAAGGCAAAGUGUUCCUGAGGUCCCCUUGGAAGAGACAUUAGGAGGGGCUAUUCAGAGGAGCCCUGCCCUCUAAAUAAAGAGUCAUGAUAAACUGGCCCUCAUCAUCCAACAUGCCUAUAUUUAUUAUGUGUAUGUAAGUACAGCCUAUAGAAAUGGAAAUAAUAGUCAUUAACCAUCAGGAAUAUUCACCAGUGGGAAAGCACAUAAUUUAUAGGCAGUGGCUGUGAGAAUCCUCCCGCUCAUCCCGAAUGGCCAUAAAUUACAGAAGGAGAUACACAGAUAACAAUUCUUCAGACUUGAGAAAGGCGAGAACAGUUUUAUAUUAUGUAAUUACCUAAACCCACCAUCCACCACACUCACACCAGAGAUUUACGGCAACAAGAAAGCCAUGUGUGGGCCCUGGGGCAUUUUCUCCUGAUUUAUAAGGAGAUGUUCAGAACGGGAGAAAGGGCCAAUGAUAGCUCUGCCAUGGUAAGAAUAAGACUGAGAGGGACUGAGCCUGCUCCUGCCUAAGAAGCGGAUGGUGAAAGAUGAGAGGAAAACUAGAACUGGUUGGCCCUUCAGCACUCCCUCAGCCCAUCCCCCAACCCUGUGUCAUACCACUACUCAUUGGCCAGUAGGUCUUUACCUCUGUGUGUGCCACAUGCGAUGCUCUGGGCACUUACGAGAAGAGACUCUAUGUAGGAGGAAAGCACAGGCUUUGGAGCGAUUCCACCUUGAAUUCAAGUCUACAUUCCAGCAUCCAAUGGCUUCAGAACCUUGGAGUUGCUUAGCCUGUUUCCUAUAAAUGCUAAGGUCAAUAUGAUAUCCAUCUUGCAAGAUUAGCAUACUGAUUAAAUCUGAUAAUGUUUAUGACGUACCUUUCAUUCAAUACAUGCUGCUUGAUCCCUCUCCCAUAUCCUUUUUUUUUUUAACCA
rnacentral:lncRNA from 1 species